rnacentral:rRNA from 1 species
CCUACGGGGGGCAGCAGUGGGGAAUAUUGGACAAUGGGCGAAAGCCUGAUCCAGCAAUGCCGCGUGAGUGAUGAAGGCCUUCGGGUCGUAAAGCUCUUUUACCAGGGAUGAUAAUGACAGUACCUGGAGAAUAAGCUCCGGCUAACUCCGUGCCAGCAGCCGCGGUAAUACGGAGGGAGCUAGCGUUGUUCGGAAUUACUGGGCGUAAAGAGUACGUAGGCGGUUAUUCAAGUCAGAGGUGAAAGCCCGGGGCUCAACCCCGGAACUGCCUUUGAAACUAGAUAACUAGAGUCUUGGAGAGGUUAGUGGAAUUCCGAGUGUAGAGGUGAAAUUCGUAGAUAUUCGGAAGAACACCAGUGGCGAAGGCGACUAACUGGACAAGUACUGACGCUGAGGUACGAAAGCGUGGGGAGCAAACAGGAUUAGAUACCCUGGUAGUCCACGCCGUAAACGAUGAUAACUAGUUGUUCGGUCACUUGGUGACUGAGUGACGCAGCUAACGCAUUAAGUUAUCCGCCUGGGGAGUACGGUCGCAAGAUUAAAACUCAAAGGAAUUGACGG